AGGACGAACGCUGGCGGCGUGCCUAACACAUGCAAGUCGAGCGGGAUUUUCCGGAUUGAAGCUUCGGCAGAUUGAAGGAAAUGAGAGCGGCGGACGGGUGAGUAACGCGUAGGCAACCUGCCCUUUGCAGAGGGAUAGCCAUUGGAAACGAUGAUUAAAACCUCAUAAUGCCAGACUGAGACAUCUCUAACUGGCCAAAGAUUUAUCGGCAAAGGAUGGGCCUGCGUCUGAUUAGCUAGUUGGUGGGGUAACGGCCUACCAAGGCGACGAUCAGUAGCCGACCUGAGAGGGUGAUCGGCCACAUUGGAACUGAGACACGGUCCAAACUCCUACGGGAGGCAGCAGUGGGGAAUAUUGCACAAUGGGCGAAAGCCUGAUGCAGCAACGCCGCGUGAAGGAAGAAGGUCUUCGGAUCGUAAACUUCUGUCCUUAGGGAAGAUAAUGACGGUACCUUUGGAGGAAGCCCCGGCUAACUACGUG
rnacentral:rRNA from 1 species